rnacentral:rRNA from 1 species
GGAGAACGGGAGAGUAAGACGAGAGGAACCUACCUUGAACUCUGGGAUGAGCCUGGGAAACUGGGUCUAAUACCGGAUACGACCAAUCUCCGCAUGGGGUGUUGGUGGAAAGCGUUAUGUAGUGGUUAUAGAUGGGCUCACGGCCUAUCAGCUUGUUGGGGAGGUAACGGCUCACCAAGGCGACGACGGGUAGCCGGCCUGAGAGGGUGACCGGCCACACUGGGACUGAGACACGGCCCAGACUCCUACGGGAGGCAGCAGUGGGGAAUAUUGCGCAAUGGGCGCAAGCCUGAUGCAUCGACGCCGCGUGAGGGAUGACGGCCUUCGGGUUGUAAACCUCUGUUAGCAGGGAAGAAAAGAGAUUGACGGUACCUGCAGAGAAAACGCCGGCUAACUACGUGCCAGCAGCCGCGGUAAUACGUAGGGCGCGAGCGUAGUCCGGAAUUAUUGGGCGGAAAGAGCUUGCAAGCGAGUUUGUCGCGUCUGCUGUGAAAGGCCGGAGCUUAACUCCGUGUAUUGCAGUGGGUACGGGCAGACUAGAGUGCUGUAGGGGAGACUGGAAUUCCUGGUGUAGCGGUGGAAUGCGCAGAUAUCAGGAGGAACACCGAUGGCGAAGGCAGGUCUCUGGGCUGUAACUGACGCUGAGAAGCGAAAGCAUGGGGAGCGAACAGGAUUAGAUACCCUGGUAGUCCAUGCCGUAAACGUUGGGCACUAGGUGUGGGGAACAUUCCACGUUUUCCGCGCCGUAGCUAACGCAUUAAGUGCCCCGCCUGGGGAGUACGGCCGCAAGGCUAAAACUCAAAGAAAUUGACGGGGGCCCGCACAAGCGGCGGAGCAUGCGGAUUAAUUCGAUGCAACGCGAAGAACCUUACCAAGGCUUGACAUAUACUGGACCGCAUCAGAGAUGGUGUUUCCCUUCGGGGCUGGUAUACAGGUGGUGCAUGGUUGUCGUCAGCUCGUGUCGUGAGAUGUUGGGUUAAGUCCCGCAACGAGCGCAACCCUCGUUCUAUGUUGCCAGCACGUUAUGGUGGGGACUCAUAGGAGACUGCCGGGGUCAACUCGGAGGAAGGUGGGGAUGACGUCAAAUCAUCAUGCCCCUUAUGUCUUGNGCUUCACGCAUGCUACAAUGGCCGGUACAGAGGGUUGCGAUACUGUGAGGUGGAGCUAAUCCCUAAAAGCCGGUCUCAGUUCGGAUUGGGGUCUGCAACUCGACCCCAUGAAGUCGGAGUCGCUAGUAAUCGCAGAUCAGCAACGCUGCGGUGAAUACGUUCCCCGG